AUGCACGCUGGCGGUAUGCUUAACACCUGCAAGUCGAACGGUCACUUCGGUGAUAGUGGCGGACGGGUGAGUAACGCGUGAGAAUCUGUCUUCAGGUCGGGGACAACAGUUAGAAAUGACUGCUAAUACCGGAUGUGCCUUUGGGUGAAAGAUUUAUUGCCUGAAAAAGAGCUCGCGUCAGAUUAGCUAGUAGGUGGUGUAAGAGACUACCUAGGCUCCGAUCUGUAGCUGGUCUGAGAGGACGAUCAGCCACACUGGAACUGAGACACGGUCCAGACUCCUACGGGAGGCAGCAGUGGGGAAUUUUCCGCAAUGGGCGAAAGCCUGACGGAGCAAUACCGCGUGAGGGACGAAGACUUUUGGGUCGUAAACCUCUUUUCUCAAGGAAGAUGAUGACGGUACUUGAGGAAUAAGCAUCGGCUAACUCUGUG
rnacentral:rRNA from 1 species